AUUGAACGCUGGCGGCAUGCCUUACACAUGCAAGUCGAACGGCAGCGCGGACUUCGGUCUGGCGGUGAGUGGCGAACGGGUGAGUAAUGUAUCGGAACGUACCAUUCAGUGGGGGAUAACGCAGCGAAAGUUGCGCUAAUACCGCAUAUUCUGUGCGCAGGAAAGCAGGGGAUCGCAAGACCUUGCGCUGAUUGAGCGGCCGAUAUCAGAUUAGCUAGUUGGUGAGGUAAAGGCUCACCAAGGCGACGAUCUGUAGCGGGUCUGAGAGGAUGAUCCGCCACACUGGAACUGAGACACGGCCCAGACUCCUACGGGAGGCAGCAGUGGGGAAUUUUGGACAAUGGGCGCAAGCCUGAUCCAGCCAUGCCGCGUGAGUGAAGAAGGCCUUCGGGUUGUAAAGCUCUUUCGGCCGGGAAGAAAUCGUAUGGGUUAAUACCCUGUGCGGAUGACGGUACCGGCAUAAGAAGCACCGGCUAACUACGUGCCAGCCGCCGCGGUAAUAC
rnacentral:rRNA from 1 species